CUUGGUCGUCUCAGGACGCUGGGAGAAGCUGGGAAUUCAGGAAGUACCCCCCAGGCCUGGGCUCUCUGGCUGCGUCGGGCCUUCUUUGUGAAUGCCCCUCGCCCAGUGCCCUCCGACAGGAGCAGCAGCUGAGCUGGGUGUGUUCACUGCCCUUCCGCAGGGGCUAGAGGCCGGGCUGGAGGGAAGGCAGAGGCCUGAGCGGCCCCCUGCCAUCUAGGGCGCCCUGGUCGUGCAGACUGGCGGCAGCACCAAGGACAGAGCCAGGGGCCCGCGGCCCGCUCUCCCGCCUCUGACAUUGGACGGGGGCCGCUGGGGGCGCUGCAGGUGCUCGCCCUCACCCUGCUAGGGGUAAGGGGAGGGCUCCUGAGGUGCGCGCAGAGCUGGGGGAGCCCAGGGCCAGUGAAGAGGCAGAUUUAGGAAGGAGGCAGGUGGGAGGACUCCUCAGUGCCAUUCCAGAGUGGGCCUUCUGUGGUGUUCCUGCCACUUAACUUUGAGCGUUGCCAAUGGCUUGUGGGAGAAACGGAGAGAAAUUAUGGAGCUUUUUGAUAUUUGGGUUCUAGAAGGACGGGGGCAUGGCUGAAGCAACUGCACUGUACCUGGCCAUGCCGGGCUGCUUCUGAGAUCCACUCCUGGUCAUCGGUGCUGUGUGCGCAGGUGUCAGCCAGGUGUCCGCCAGGUGUCUGCUGUAUGCUGUGGGGAAUGAGCCAACCCUUCUGGUCUGGCAUAGCACUGGACAGUGACUGGGAACCAGGAGAAACCAGGAAGAGAGGCAGGUGCUCAGGUUGAGAAUCCGUCUCUGAGAACCUGAAGCUUUUCCUGCUGAUUCUCACUAUUUUCCCAGCAAACUUCCACCCAAGAAAGUUCCAGAAAGAACACCCGUGGGAGGCCUCCCUGCUACAGCGAAGCAGACCUCACCCACCACUACCAGUAUUAAGUCAGAACGGCCAAAGGAAGAUCCUGCCAGACUUUCCCUUGAGCUGGUCUGCAGGCCCCUGCAGCCAGGAACCUGUCCCAGGAGCCGUCCGUCCGUCCAUUGGCAAACAGGUGCGUGCCCCUUCACAUUGCACUUUCUGCUCCCCUGGAGCUGGUUCGUGGGCUGGGGCUUCUCGGGGUGGGGGGGCACUCGGGGGCCAGGGUGUGGGC
rnacentral:lncRNA from 1 species